rnacentral:tRNA from 1 species
GCCAUCUUAGCUCAGCUAGGUAGAGCGUGUCCAUGGUAAGGAUGAGGUCGGCGGUUCGAGUCCGCCAGGUGGCU